GACAGAGGGGGCAAGCGUUGCUCGGAAUCACUGGGCGUAAAGGGCGCGUAGGCGGGAUGGCAAGUCGGUCGUGAAAUCCCUCGGCUCAACCGAGGAGCGUCGGCCGAUACUGCCGUUCUUGAGGGAUGCAGAGGAGACUGGAAUUCCCGGUGUAGCGGUGAAAUGUGUAGAGAUCGGGAGGAACACCGGUGGCGAAGGCGGGUCUCUGGGCAUCUCCUGACGCUGAGGCGCGAAAGCGUGGGUAGCAAACAGG
rnacentral:rRNA from 1 species